rnacentral:rRNA from 1 species
AUUGAACGCUGGGGCGUACUUAACACAUGCAAGUGGUGCGACGAACCAGGCUUCGGCCUGGGGCGAAGCCGCGAACGGGUGAGUAACACGUGGGCAAUCUGCCCCUUUGAUCGGGACAACCCGGGGAAACCCGGGCUAAUACCGAAUGAGGUGGCGACUCAUGAGAGUCGUCACGAAAGGAAGCUUCGGCCUCCGCGAAGGGAUGAGCCCGCGGCCCAUUAGCUUGUUGGUGGGGUAAUGGCCUACCAAGGCAACGAUGGGUAGCUGGUCUGAGAGGACGAUCAGCCACACUGGGACUGAGACACGGCCCAGACCCCUACGGGAGGCUGCAGUGGGGAAUCUUGCGCAAUGAGCGACAGCUUGACGCAGCAACGCCGCGUGAGGGAAGAAGGCUUUCGGGUCGUAAACCUCUUUCAGUUAGGACGAAGCUUUAUUGGUUAAUAACCAAUUGGAGUGACGGUACUUUCAGAAGAAGCCCCGGCUAACUACGUGCCAGCAGCCGCGGUAA